UGUGUUGGGGGAGCACUGGAGUCUUUUGAGGAUUAGCAGUCGGCGAUUAUGGACGUGCGGAGCAUUGCUGUUUUAUUUAUUGUCUUUUGCAUUUUGCAUAUCGAGGGGAAGCCAACAAUAAGACCUGCAGUGACUUCCCCAGGAGCGGAGAGAGGAGAACGCCCCCAAGCUGAGAAAAGAGGAGUCAAUAACACCACCCUCUAUGUCGGCCUGGGGCUAUACGGUGCAGUA